rnacentral:rRNA from 1 species
GUGGAUUAGAUACCCCGAUAGUCCACGCCGUAAACGAUGGGCAUUAGGUGUGGGAGGUGUCGACUCCUCCCGUGCCGGCGCUAACGCAUUAAAUGCCCCGCCUGGGGAGUACGGCCGCAAGGCUAAAACUCAAAGGAAUUGACGGGGGCCCGCACAAGCAGCGGAGCAUGUGGUUUAAUUCGAUGCAACGCGAAGAACCUUACCUGGGCUUGACAUGUUUGUGACAGCCGUGGAAACACGGUCUUCCUUCGGGACACUUACACAGGUGGUGCACGGUUGUCGCCAGCU